CAAAACAAAAAAUCACAAACAUUUGUUUGAGUACUAUGCUGAAUGCUGAAUGCCUUGGGCUCAUAUUGCCUUCUUUGGAACUUUAUAGAUUAUAAAUCACAUUGGCAACUGUAUUAUAAAAAUCCUAAAAUACAGUUUUAACUGAUGUAAGGAAUAGAUUGCAUUGAUAUAGGUUUACACAACCAGAGAAUGUGAACAAAUCCAUAUUACAUUCCUUAGUGCUCAUUUACUAAGGACAGAGUCUAUGACUCUGAGUAGAUGGACUUGUUACUGCUUUUUAGUGCUUCCCAGGGGUAUGUUCAGCCUGCUAGAAAGUUGAGAGCAUAUACAUAAUGUAUUAUUCUUUUUAUUCUGAUGCUGUUCAUUCUACUAUCCUUUAGACAAAACAUAUUUCAAAAUCACUUGAUUAUUAAAAAUAAACUAUGUUGCAUGUGGUUGUUGGGGUUAGUAUGAGUGCAUCGUACAGUGCUAGCAGACAGCUCUUUCUUCCAUGUAGGUCUGGGGACUGAAAUCUGUUUGCCAGUCUUAUUCACAAGUACUUUUAGAAACUGAGCCCAUUCAGACUCCCUGUCUAUCUAUCUAUCUAUCUAUCUAUCUGUCUGUCUGUCUGUCUGUCUGUCUGUCUGUCUAUCUAUCAAGAUGUAUUUAGACAUAUUUCUAUUGACCUUAAACCAUUACAGUCUUUCUAAUUCUGAGCUUUCAUGUGGCAUGCUACUUUUCAUUCUUACCAGAGGAUGAAACUCUCAUCCAAGGCUUUGUCAAACUUAUACAUCACUGGUAAUUCUAGCUUCUGUUUGUCAGUAACUUUUGGUCCCCCUGAGCCUUCAUCAGUACAUAAUGCCCUGAGUUUUCAUUGCUUCUGCCACAGGCAUGGCUUUGAACAUGAGCAACCAACAUCUGGCUUUAAUGAAAGAAGAGGUGAAGGUUCACUUGUUCUCCUACAGAUUUCACAGGAAGUUCAGUUUCAGAAAAGAAGAAGAUGCCAAGUGCCCUGGAACUGGGGUUACAAAUGGUUGUGGCCCACCAUGUGGGUACUGGGAAUCAAACCCAAGUUCUCUGGAAGAGUAAGUCAGUACUCUUUACUACUGAGCCACCCUUUCUGACCUCAAAAAUUCAACUUUUUAAAACUCAGCAAGUAAUGAAAGAAAGAGCAAAGAGUGGGAUAAGGAGAGAGAGGGAAGGAGAAAAAAGAAAGAGAAAGCAGACUUUGUUUAUAAUUAAGUGAUCUGUUAUUUAAUGUAUGAAAUAAGGAAAGGAACAUUUCCAUACACAUUUUAUACCUACACUGUGAAUAAAGACUGUCAAUUACCAGAUGCUACAUGUAAUGUAAUUGCAUUGACAUUGAGGUCAAUAAUGCGUGAAGUUAAGUGUAAUGUUAGAUGGUGGGGGCUGGGCUGCCUUUCACUUAAGGCAUUUACAGCACCGGGAAGAAUUUGCACAAGACUGCUGGAAUGUUCACUAAGUCCUGUCUCUUGUUCUGGGUGCUGGCUGCAUGGGUGUGCUCUUUUCAUGAAAAUCUGUCCCCCUAGAACUUAGUAUUUGCUUCUGUUCUUCCCUAUAUGUUACACUUGACUUGGUAAAGUUUAUAUUGAGGAAUAAAUGCAAUACGGAAUUGAGAAGACAGGAUUCUAGCUCUCAUCUAUCUUCUCUGAAAGUCACCUUGUACCUAUAUAAACCGAAUUCCUUCAAAGAUCAACCUCUACUCAGGCUAUGUGUAAAUAAUCAGCAUAUCAUGUACAGACUACUAUCCCAAUCUUACUACAAAACUGAAUUGGCAGGGAAGGCUGGAGCAAUGACUUGGUGGGUAAAUGCUUGCCAUACAGGCAUGAUGACCUGAGUCUGAGUUCCUACUGUUCACAUAAAAGCUGAACAGAGUAACAUGCAUCUGUAACCUCCAUCAUAGGGCUAGAGAUAGGCAGAUGUCUGAGGUUUCCUGGAUAGCCACUCUAAAUGAAUAGAUGAGUCUCAGGUUCAGUGAGAGACCCUGUUUCAAAAAAUCACCCAAUGAAUGACACGGUAAGACACCCAAUAUCAACCUCUGACCUUCAUAUCUCCAUGCAUGGGUGCAUAAAUCCCCCCACAGACACAGAUAAAGAAAAUGAAAUAGACAGUGGGGUGACCUUGCUCACUGAGUCACAUCGUCCAGAUUCAGGUUCUGAAGGUUCAUGUUGCUCACUUGAAGGAACUAGCAAAAUGCAGGGGUUUGACAAAAUAUACCCACAGGCAGUAAGACAGGAUUCCUAUCACUCUGUGCUAAGCCUCUUCAUGGUCCAUAUAGAUUGCCCUUUGAACUUUAGCCAGAACUUUACGCUCUUUCUUUUUACCUAAAAGAAAUAAAAGGGUAGCCAUCACCCCCUUCUGAUUCUGAGCAAUUCCAUUAGAGAUCUGGGCCGUCAUUUUUAAUAAUAAAAUCUUGGUGUUAUCUAUGUUUUGUCUAUAUUCAGUGGCAGGCAAGCAGAAGAUAUUGUUGUUGCCCAGGGAGAAAUCUUAAAGCAGUUUUUGACUCAAAGGCACUACUUGCUUAGAGUGGUUUCUCUCAAGAGCAAUACCUAUCAAGUAGCUUUAAAAUAAAUUGGAAAGAGAAGUGGGAGGGGGAGGCAGAGGAAGGAGUGAAGAGUCAGCAAAUGAGCAGGUUUCCAUUUGAAAUUUAAAUUGGCAGCUGGCAAUAUUUGAAUCGUUCUGCAUUUAAUAUAAUUUGAAUGGGGCAGAUGAUAGUCACGCAUUUUGAGGAGGGAAAGCGGAACCUUGAAUAUGAGCCUCUGUCAUUCCGCACAGCUCAAUUUGACUCACUUUCCUUCAGUACACUUUGAAGAAAAUGAGUUCUGGGUGUUUUCCUUGUUUAUUCCUGGAGAGCACAAUGCAUAAAUGGUGUGAAGACAAGAUUCUAGCCAUAUGAUAGCUGGCUAUGAACAUUUCAAUGGGAUUGCUGAAAUGAGAAAGCUGGACAAAACCUCAAACUUGUGAUUAACUGGGAGAGAAAUAUCACUAAUGUGGAAAUGGAAAACUAAGCCCAGAAGAUAGCCAUUCACAAAUAAAGUCAUGAGAGUAGUUAAGGACAGUUAGUAACACUAUAUAGGGAAAAAUUCAAUUAUCAGGAGCAAUGUAAAUUAUUUGUGGGUGCUCUGAGAAAAUUAUUUCCUUGCAUGAGAACACUGAAUUUUGCGUACCUGUUUCAGUCAGCAUCCUGGAUGCAGACACACCUCAGAAAAAAAUCAAGCAGGCACUUUAUGUGCUAGGAAUAUCAAAAUUAGGCUAGGAGAUGUUCAUUAAAUGAUGAGAACAAGUCUACCGAGGAAAGGAGAAACAGACAUAUAAAGACUCACAGACUAGAGAGUGAGCACUUGCUUGAUUAUCAAAUAAUUGAAGAGAUGAGUAGUAGGUGCCUAUCCUUGUGUUUCUAGAAAGAAUGGACUUUGAGCAUUUAUUUUCCACAUUUUACCCUCCAAAUACAGGGAAGCCAGAAAAGUAUCUUCUAUUAUUCCAAUUUCUUUUUGUGGGUUGCAGGGGUUAGAAUACAGUGCAUGUGGACACCAGAAAAUAAGACCAAGUACUAAUCUCCAGGUACCAUUUACCUUUCUAUGAUUUUUUUUUUGAGGCAGUAUCUCUCACUAGACUGGAUUUAACUUAUCGCAUAGGAUAGGCUCUCCAUUCAAUAAGUCCCGGGUAUCCUCCCAUCUCUGCUUUUGCUGUGCUGGGAUUAUAACUGUCCAGCACCAUCCUUGGCUCUUGUUGCAUGGGUGCUAAAGAUCAAACUCAGGUCCUCAUUCACACAAGGUAAAACCUUUACCCAUGAGCCUUUUCUCCUUUCAUUUUUCCCAGUUUUUAUGAAUCAGGGAGAUUUACAGGAGGUUACAGCAGACUCACCUCUCCUUCAAUAGUAUCACUGUGGAGUGAAGGGAAACAAUGAGAGUAAUCUUCUCAUUUGGAUUGUGGGGUCUAACUAUCUAAUUAUUUGAAAGACUGUCUGUCACCUCUUCAAGUUUCUGGUUGUUAAUGGAUGACAUAGGAUAGAUAAAGUCUGCAAUAUCAAGAUUGGUUGUGAAUUGCAAAUAAGAUGAUACAUUUAGAGAAAAGCUGGAAUAUAUUACCUGAUAUAAGCAUUCCCAAAUCUUUGUCUUCAGUAGAAUGAAGGAAGUUUGGGGUGCUUUGCUCUACUUGGUAUAAAAAAUAAUCUCACACUUCCAAUUACUUAACAUCUUCAUUGUCUCAUGCAUAGUAGAGGCUUGCAGCUUAAGGACCAAAGGUUGAAUUAUCUUGAACAGGAAUUCUUGCUCCGUGGUCACCAGCUUCCAAAUUACAUUGUUAUGUGAACAGAGACCUUAAGAAACAUCUUCAAGGGUCUCCAGCUCACUCAGGGUCUUUAAUUCUGUACACUGCGACAGUGUUAGAGGGAAAAAAAAUACCUAAAGAUGCCCAAUAAUUGGUUCAGAUUCCUUUGCAUUUUCAGUUAUGUGUGUGUGUGUCUAUCACAUGAGUGCAAUUACUCUCAAAGGCCUGAAGAAGGCAUCAGAUCCUCAGAGUAAGAGUUAGUUACAGGCACCCAAUAGAUAUAUUUUUGGAAAUCAAACUCAGGCCCUGUAGAAGAGCAGUAAACACUUUCAAGCAUUGAGCCAUCUCUCUAGCCUCCAGUCUUCCUCAUUUCCCAUUUAAGGUGUCAACCAAGAAAAGAAAUAUUUUAUGCAAAUUCAAGAAAAAAAAGAAAGAAUAUAAAUGACUGUGUAACCAAUAUAUCAAAUACACAAAUUGGGAAUAUAAUCAAGUAUGAGGUCACAGAAAAUGUUAUUUCCAUAGUUGUGCAUAAUUUAAAAGGAGAGGUCACAUAUAAACAUAGGUAAUAAUAGGGAAUGAGAGUAUUUAAAUUUUUAAAAUAUUUAAAUGUGGUUUGAUUGCAUCCCAAAGCAACUUUUCUGGCCUGUCAUCUGUGUCACUAAAUAUAGCCUUACACCCUGCUAGAUCAGAGCUGUAUCUACAUAGUAGGUAAUUAGCCUCUUGUAAUAAAAAUAAAACCUAUAAAUAUCACCUCAUUAGUAGGAUUGUGUCCUCACUCUUACCUGCUCUCUUCUUGAUCUAGAAUAUUCCACAGAACAUUUAGAAAUCUAAUAGCCAGAAUAGCAGUCUUACUGCUGGGCUCCCUGGCAGGAGUGGUGUGGAUCAAAAUUAAAUGUGACGAGUCCUAUAUUUUGGAUUGAUGGGCUCCGAGAAGAAAUAAAUGAAACGAAGAAACCUUAAAAGUGAUGAAUUUGAAAGUUGCUUCAGGUUGAGUAUGUGUUUUGAGGGCAAGGCACUGAGAAUGUGGCUUGUGAGUGCACAAAUGGAGACGACAGAAAAAGUCCAGCUUCUGUACUAUUGUUUUAUUUUCUUGUUUGAGACAGCUUCUUGGAGUGCUCAGAUGUGUUUGUGUGUGUGUGUGUGUGUGUGUGUGUGUGUGCCCUCAACUUUCCAGGAUUCUCAUGUCUAUGCCUCUUAUAUCCCAAAUGAAUAUGCUGAAUGUCCGCUGGGACUUCAACUCUGGUCCCCCACUUGCCUGUCUCAUGCUUUACUCACUGCAGCAUCUCCACCGCCUUCAUUUCUGACCUGUGUACAUUCUCAGAUCUGUGGGUUUGUUUGUUUUUUUUUGUCUGAAUUAAAAAAAAAAUGUAAAUAUCCAAUUCCUGCCAGCCACUGCAGACCAUGCAGCUCAAGCAUGGAAUUCAGUUCCCUUUCUCCCCUGCACAUUACGUUGUUGUGCUCUCAACAAGAGAUUAAGGAUGGCUAUUCAAAAGACCUUAAGUAAUUUUUAUUCUGAUUGAGUACAUGCUGUUAUCAAAUAAAUAAUAAUGAUAUCAUAAUCUAAUUACCCUAUCCCUAUCCAUUAAUUUUAAACACGAUCAUAUUAAACCCAAUAUUCAAAUUAUGGUAGCUCUCUUUCCCUCCCUUCCCCCUCCUUCACCCCCACCCUGUCGGACAAGGGUGUUUACUGCUAUCAUUUUUCCCAAUAUGUUCUAGCAUUAAACUUGGAAAUUAUUGCAUUUCUUAUUAGUCUUGCCAAUGAGCGAUCUUCAAGUCCCUCAUAGCUCUGCCUCUUCUGUUAUACGAUGAUAGGAGAGUACUACCAAAUUGGACUUCUGAUUUGACUUAGGGAGAUCUGAGCUCAUCUCCUUCUACUUUAAUAGCAAGCAUUUUCCCUACUGAGUACCUCCUGAACCUAUAUAGGGUAGGGUAACUCUUAGCCAUGGAGGAGUUUCAUUUUUCCAGGAGUCACGAAUAAGUCUAUUCAAUAUAUUAUCUCUUCUGGGCACUCAAAAGCAUUGCUUCUGGGGCUAUAGCAUGUCACAUCCAUCUGUUCUCUAGUACAAGUGUUCCUUCGGGGUUGCUCUUUACUGUGAGGCUCCAGAACAACAGCAUAUGCCAGUGUAGAGAGCACUUUGCUACCACCCUUAUCUAGUUGGGUUUGGUGGCUGAUUCCCAGGAGCACACUCCUGUAAAGAUACUUAGGAAAUCUCAUAAGAAGGGGUUCCCUUUGUACCUCUAACCUUAUCUCACGGACCAUUUCUUAUUUAAUAAGUUAUCAUAUCUAAAUUUUCUGUGGUUUAAACCGGAAAUGGUUACAUUUUAUCUCCCAUCAAAUGUUCAUCAGGGGUAUCUAAGAAUGCGAGGCUCUGUUUAUUGAGUCACUGGACAAAGUAGGCAGAUUCUCUUUUCUGAAAGUCUGAUGUUUCUCAUGCCAAAGAAUUUGUUUAAUGGAUGAUAAAAUGUGUGACUUGGGAGGGAAACAUGUCACCUUUGUGAAGUACUUGAGUAGUGUUAGCACAUGUCCCUGUUGGAGGGCUUGAAAGAAGGUACUAAAGGAAAAAUGGUAACUCUGUGUUGGCCAUAACUUUAUUCUGUAAUGGGACUCAAGUGCAGUCUCGGUGAGUACCAUUAAAUACCUGCCAUCUUGCCCAACUGAAGAGCCCCAUGUUCAUGACUAUAUGGACAGCAUAAGUUGCAAUCAGUAGACUAUGUGAAAACAGAGAGAGGACACAAAAUACAGAUGUGGGUUAAAUCUGGUAGGAUUUAGGGAGGAGAGAGAUUAAAUAUGAUCAAAAUAUAUUAUAUGCAUACAUGAACAUCUUUUUUAAAAGUAAAAACAUUUAAAAAGAAAUGAUUGCUUCAAGCAACCCAUAUGCUAAUUACUCUGAUUAGAACAUUACCCAGUGUAUUCAUGAAUCAGAACAUCACACUCUACUUAUUAAAUAUGCAUAAUUAUCAUGUGUCAGUCAAAUUAUAAAUCUAUUUAUUUGAUUUAAGAAAAAAAAAUCUUAUUGUCAGCAUUCUUCAUUCUUGCCACCACUCUCCUUAGCCUACAGGUAUUUCCAGGUACUACUUCACCAGAUCAUGUCUUCAAGAAAUUUUAAAUCAAUCUUUCUUACUUUUAAUAUGCAUGAUUAUUGAUUCUGGUCACCUGUGGUAGACUAGAACUCAGUACUUUUUUUUUCUCACAGUAUUUACACUUUGCACAAUGGUUAUCCAUUGCCUCCUUCCUGUCCUUAACACUGAAGCCUCUGGCAGUGUUUAUUCCACAGGCUAAUUCUCAGAAUCUCAGAAUCACAGGAGUAAGAUCAUGGUGCCUUUGUUUUUGUGCCUGGCUUAUCUCACCAAACAAAGGGUCCUGAAGACUCAUCCACAUUGUUCCACAUGAUAUUUUUCUUUCAUUUUCAAGGCCAAAUAGCAUCUUACAGAAAACAUGCUGUACACUUUCUUUGUCCACUCUUCUGCUAAUGGAUGGUUAGGCUCUUGGCUCUUCUGAGUGUUGUAAGAACCAUGGGAGUGGAGCUUACCUCUUAAUAUAUAAAUAGUGGAGAGGUUUCUGGAUCCUUUUAAAACCUGGUAAGCAGUUUUGUUGUGUGUAUAUUUUCAUAGUCACAAGUAUGUGUAUAUGUGUACACUCAUGUGUCUGCAUGUGCACUGGGGGUCAGAGUACAGCCUCUGGUAUCAUUCCUCCAGAUAAUUUCCCCUUUUCUUCUUUUAAGAUGGGAGUUAACCAAGUAGUAUAACCUGAUUGGCAAGUGAACACAGAACAUGCUUGUCUCCACAGCCACAUUACAAGAAAGAGGCACCACUCAAGGACUUUUUAAACUUGUACUCUGAGCAUCAAACUCAGGUCCUCGAGCUUGAUAAAACACAUCACCCAAUGAGUUAUCAGCCUUUCACUACUCAUCAGAUUUGUAAUAGUACAAAUUUACUAGCCCAAAGCACAUAUCAAGAAAACUUGGCACGUGAUAAUAACACAGAGUACUGGUCAUCGGAAAAAA